CAAACCUAGCCCAAACACAUUAUAAUAAAAAUUCACUUAACACCUAAAUUAAAACAUUCACCAACAGUAAAAGUAUCAGAGACAGAAAUUAUAUCAUAGGAGCUAUAGAGAUAGUACCGUAAGGGAAAGAUGAAAGAAUUAUUAACAGUACAAGACAGCAAAGAUCAGCCCUUUUACCUUUUGCAUAAUGAGUCAACUAGAAUAUAACUUGCAAAGAGAACUUAAGUAAGAUACCCCGAAUCCAGACGAUCUACCUAUAGACAGUCAAACAGGACUAAUUCAUCUAUGUGGCAAAAUAGUGAAAUGAUCGAUAGGUAGCGGUGAAAAGCCAAUCGAGCCUGGUGAUAGCUGGUUGUCCAGGAGACGAAUAUAAGUUCAACUUAAAACUUACCCUAAAAGAACAAAUGACUAGUCUAAAUGUAAGUUUUAGAUAUAGUCAAUAGGGGUACAGCCCUAUUGAUACAGGAAAACCUUAAUUAGAGAGUUCCAACGAUAUACUUCCAUAGUAGGCUUAAAAGCAGCCAUCAAUAAAGAAAGCGUUCAAGCUCAACAAUAAGCUCUACAAAUACCACUAAAUACUAACAACUCCUAAUAUACUACUGGACCAAUCUAUCUUAAUAGAAGAGAUAAUGUUGAUAUGAGUAACAAGAAUACCUUUCUCCACGCACAAGUUUAUAUCAGACCGAAUAACUCACUGAUAGUUAACAACUAAACUAAGCUCACACACAAAAUAUUCUAUAGUUACACCAAUUGUUAGCCCAACACAGGAGUGCGUAAUGGAAAGAUUAAAAGAAACAAAAGGAACUCGGCAAA
rnacentral:rRNA from 1 species